GGCCUUAGGGUCGUAAACCCCUGYCAGAUGGGACGAACCGUAGACUGGCUAAUAGCUGAUCUGCCUGACGGUACCAUCAGAGGAAGCUCCGGCUAACUCCGUGCCAGCAGCCGCGGUAACACKMSKAGGGGGCGAGCGUUGUCCGGAUUUAUUGGGCGUAAAGGGCUCGUAGGCGGUUCAGCAAGUCAACCGUGAAAACCCGGGGCUCAACCCCGGGACGCCGGUCGAAACUGCUGUGACUAGGGUCCGGUAGAGGUGAGUGGAAUUCUCGGUGUAGCGGUGAAAUGCGCAGAUAUCGAGAGGAACACCAGUAGCGAAGGCGGCUCACUGGGCCGGUACCGACGCUGAGGAGCGAAAGCGUGGGGAGCAAACAGGAUUAGAUACCCUGGUAGUCCACGCCGUAAACGUUGAACACUAGGUGUGGCGGACUUAUCCACGUCUGCUGUGCCGCAGCUAACGCAUUAAGUGUUCCGCCUGGGGAGUACGGCCGCAAGGCUGAAACUCAAAGGAAUUGACGGGGGCCCGCACAAGCGGUGGAGCAUGUGGUUUAAUUCGACGCAACGCGAAGAACCUUACCGGGGUUUGAACUGCACCUGAACGACCUAGAGAUGGGGAGGUUCCUUUCGGGGACAGGUGUAGAGGUGCUGCAUGGCUGUCGUCAGCUCGUGUCRUGAGAUGUUGGGUUAAGUCCCGCAACGAGCGCAACCCUUGUCUGUAGUU
rnacentral:rRNA from 1 species